rnacentral:tRNA from 1 species
GGCGGAGUGGCCGAGUGGUUAAGGCGACCGAACUAGAAAUUCGUUGGGUUCGCCCGCGCAGGUUCGAGUCCUAUCUCCGUCG